UUUAUGAAUGACUUUUCAUUAGGAAGGUUGAAUACAAGUUUCUUAUAAAAAUAAUUCACGGUGGCGUGAUACGCUGCUAACCAGUUCAUUUCUAGAAUUACAUCGAAAUCCCUCGUGUCUAGUGCUAUCAGAUCUACACUCAAUUUUCUAUUUACUAUUUUUAUGAUAUUAAGCUUUGUAUAUGACAUUUUCUAAUAGUGUCUCAUUCCCAAGUGUAGACAUAAAUAAUAUAGAAUUAAGGCUUUCAGUAACACAUU
rnacentral:lncRNA from 1 species